rnacentral:rRNA from 1 species
AACGAACGCUGGUGGCAUGCCUAAUACAUGCAAGUCGAACGAGAAAGCUCUUCGGAGUGAGUAGAGUGGCGCACGGGUGAGUAACACGUAGAUAACGUACCUUCUAGGUGGGGGACAACAUCGGGAAACCGGUGCUAAUACCGCAUGUGCAAGUAAUUGGAAAGGUGGCUUCGGCUAUCGCUAGAAGAACGGUCUGCAUGACAUUAGCUUGAUGGUGGGGUAAUGGCCUACCAUGGCUUUGAUGUCUAGCUGGUCUGAGAGGAUGAUCAGCCACACUGGAACUGAGACACGGUCCAG